CGUAGGGUGCAAGCGUUGUCCGGAAUUAUUGGGCGUAAAGAGCUCGUAGGCGGCUUGUCGCGUCUGCUGUGAAAACUUGGGGCUCAACUCCAAGCCUGCAGUGGAUACGGGCUAGCUAGAGUGCGGUAGGGGAGACUGGAAUUCCUGGUGUAGCGGUGAAAUGCGCAGAUAUCAGGAGGAACACCGGUGGCGAAGGCGGGUCUCUGGACCGAUACUGACGCUGAGGAGCGAAAGCGUGGGGAGCGAACAGGAUUAGAUACCCUGGUAGUCCACGCCGUAAACGUUGGGCGCUAGGUGUGGGGAUCUUUCCACGAUCUCCGUGCCGCAGCUAACGCAUUAAGCGCCCCGCCUGGGGAGUACGGCCGCAAGGCUA
rnacentral:rRNA from 1 species